AUUGAACGCUGGCGGCAUGCUUUACACAUGCAAGUCGAACGGUAACAGGCCGCAAGGUGCUGACGAGUGGCGAACAGGUGAGUAAUGCAUCGGAACGUGCCCAGUCGUGGGGGAUAACUACUCGAAAGAGUAGCUAAUACCGCAUACGAUCUAUGGAUGAAAGCGGGGGACCGUAAGGCCUCGCGCGAUUGGAGCGGCCGAUGUCAGAUUAGGUAGUUGGUGGGGUAAAGGCUCACCAAGCCAACGAUCUGUAGCUGGUCUGAGAGGACGACCAGCCACACUGGGACUGAGACACGGCCCAGACUCCUACGGGAGGCAGCAGUGGGGAAUUUUGGACAAUGGGCGCAAGCCUGAUCCAGCAAUGCCGCGUGCGGAAGAAGGCCUUCGGGUUGUAAACUGCUUUUGUACGGAACGAAACGGCUCUGGUUAAUACCCGGGGCUAAUGACGGUACCGUAAGAAUAAGCACCGGCUAACUACGUG
rnacentral:rRNA from 1 species